UACGAAGGGGGCUAGCGUUGUUCGGAAUUACUGGGCGUAAAGCGCGCGCAGGCGGCUCUUCAAGUCAGGGGUGAAAGCCCAGAGCUCAACUCUGGAAUUGCCUUUGAGACUGAGUGGCUUGAGUACGAGAGAGGUGAGUGGAAUUCCCAGUGUAGAGGUGAAAUUCGUAGAUAUUGGGAAGGAACACCGGUGGCGAAGGCGGCUCACUGGCUCGUAACUGACGCUCAUGCACGACAGCGUGGGGAUCAAACAGG
rnacentral:rRNA from 1 species